rnacentral:tRNA from 1 species
GUUGGAAUAGUUGUUAGCAAUGGCUUAUUUACAUUAAGUUGAUGAGUUAUGUCUUUUGAUA